UUUACACUCAAUGCACCUCUGCAAUACCCUUGAAAAACAGCGAGUAAUUGGCGAAACGGUUGUCUAAUAAAUCUGAGUAGGCUAUACCUGAUGAUAUAAUUGAAUGCUUAUAACGAUUGACUGUAUAAAAAUGAGCACGUAUGUCUACGUGGCUAUUACUGUUAGUAAUUUUCUAUCCACAGCACAGGAAAACAACUUAGCAUAUUGACAGAAUAAUAGUUAUGUGGGAUUAUCCGAAUUUAUUUCGCAAAGGAUUUAGCCAAACCAUAAACCACAAGGAAAAAAUUUCCAUGCAUAGGCUAUCCUGAUGCAACGGUGCACACUACAGGACUGCACGAUAUUCUGUCACAUUCAGGAGUAUUUCCAGUAUAAUAGCCCCCAUAAAAAAUCCAGCAUGCUUUUAAAACAUUUUUACGGAGCGCACAGAUUUCUAAACCGAGAGUACAGAUUUACACAUGGGUCUUUUUUUUCUCAGCUGACACCAGGGGGGCUCAGUAAUUUUUCAAUGUUGUUCUUAUGUUUCAUUUUAAUAGUCACUUUAUAGUUUGACUGAACUGCCAUCUACCGGGAGGGCAGAGGUUAUACUUCUAAUUGUCAUUCGGUAGGUCAAUUUCCCGAGUUUACUUGAACAUGAAUUUAAGAUCAAACACCAUUAUCUCAGCUGUGCGUUACGUUAAAUCAAUUUUCCUUGUCAAUUUUAACAGGUCAUAUUUAGACCCCCGAUGUCGUGCUCGUUUUUGUCCAGCAGAGGGAGCAAAUGCCUACGUUUACGACUUGCUGCACGUACAAUAAUGCGAGCUUUAUUCGCAGCUGAAAAAUAGCUAAAUUUAAAUGAAUGGACGUAGAAUCACAAGACUCAAAUUCCGAUGUACAAUGUAUUAGAUGUAAUGAGCAGCAAAAUACUUACAUCUUGCAGUUGUGAGCCAGCAACAGUACUAUAACUGUACACAGAGAGCGUGAUUAUGUACUGUUUUUAGGUCCUCACAAAAGCCAUUUUGAACAUGAAAAAGCACUUCAGUCGUUAUUUAAUAAAAUGAACUCUCAUGUGACAACUGCAAAAAUACUUCCCCAUAAUACCUUUGUGCCCCAUAAUUUUUGGCUCAUCCAGGUACGCAUUGACCCAAGAAUAAGGCGGUUUAUAGCUACCACGAGAAGGCGGGAGGCAUUGUAUGUACACAAGUUAAAUUAAAACUGAGGCUAUCGGGGUUAGAAUCAAAUUACCCCCCGAAUGACUGGAACGUGGGCAAACCACAAGAUCUUCCGCAGAAAGAACGAAAAUACCUGCAGCAAGUUUCCACUCAGAGCUGACUGCCAUACGAACAUAGCCUACUCACCAUGAAACACAUCUCAAAAACGAUAUGGCCCAUUUCUAUGAACCAUUUUUUAUGCGGCAGUUCUCAAUUAUUGGUUGCAAUGUAGAUCACAGCAAGAAUGCCCAAAGGUGCGCAAACAUUGUAAUUGGUUCCUGUCAAAAUCGACCACUUACCUGGCCAAAUGGUCAAGUUAUGGCUAGCGCAUGGAACUACUGACUUUUAUUGAAGAGCUCUCAAUAAGAUUUAAGAGACUGUGUGAAUCAGAUAUAUUGUUGCUGUAAGAAUUUUUGUGAACAGCAAUGUGCAAGAAAGGCAAAUUAUGGAGGAAGUGUGGACCGUGAGUCAUUGCGGUUUAUGAUAGGCUGAAUUGUGAGCGCGCUCAGUGUGCGAAGAGCUUAAGUGAGCUUGCACCGAGAGCCUGUCUGUCUGUCUCUCUGCUGUCUCUAGAACCUUCCUUUCCUGUUCCUUUCCUUGGCCUUCAAUUCCCACAGUUCUCUAGAAUUGAGGAUUAGAUUUAGCUCUCAGCAACAAGAGGUGGUAGGUACCAUGCCUCGGAGUAGAUUUCCCCUGAGUGGCACUCUGGACCUGCGCAGCUCGGCGUCCACAACGGGCCGGUGCCGCAUCCGUUACGCGUCUGCGCAGCUCGGCGUCCGCAACGCGUCUGCGCAGCUCGGCGUCCGCAACGCGUCUGCGCAGCUAGGCGUCCGCAACGCGUCUGCGCAGCUCGGCGUCAGUAACGCGUCUGCGCAGCUCGGCGUCCGUAACGCGUCUGCGCAGCUCGGCGUCCGCAACGCGUCUGCGCAGCUCGGCGUCUGCAACGUGAAAGUCAGUCUCAGUAACGUGGCUGAGUGGUUCGCCAUCGUGACGGGCACACGUUCCAGUCAGGCCUCACUGCUAUCUUCAGCAGGAAGGCAGGAGGGACGACGCAAAGUUUUUUUUUCUGGAAUGGCGCAAGAUGGUGCGCGUCCAGCCAAAACCGCUCGGGUGAAAGCGUCAUUUCACUCCGACCCCUACCGAGUACAGCAUCAACACCUCUCCUUGGCGCUCUCGAAAGUGCAGCCCGGGCGUCAGGGAUUCCUAAUUUCACCAUCACAGAGACGACCCUCUCGAGAGGCUCCUGAAGGCCCACUGGGUACAGGCUCCCCAGCGCACGCUUCACCGCGGAUGUUUGUUAUUGAAUCUGGCGUAGUCGCUCGACGGCGAAGUGAUUUAGUUCAGGCGGGAGUUCCCGUUUGAGAAGGCAGAGAGGGGAACUCGGGCUCUCCGUACGCAGGGUCGUGUCUGCGCCCCUCUCUUGGGUCCCGGGACAUUUUUAUUUUCCGGCGUGUUCUGUGAGCGUGCGGGCCGUCGGGUGCGGACUGAGGAGAGACACGCCGGUUUGAAGCGACCCGUCCAUUCGCUUAAUUUCGCUCGUAAUACCGGAGGGAGGCAUUGCGAUUGGCCGAGUCCCCCGUUGCCUGGGCAACCCCGUCAGGGAGGAGGGAAAGAGUGAAGCGCGCGAGGGCAAAUCAACGCUCUUUCUCUCUCUCUCUCUCUCUCCUCCCCCCCUUCUCGGUCUCUCUCUCGCUCCCUCAGUGGUUCGCUCUGUAUCCCGUGCUCCUCUCUCUCUCUCUAUCUCUCCCUCCCUCCCUCUCUCCCCUCUUUUCCUCCAUAUGUGCAUAUUUCUCUGGACACUUCUUCAGUGCAGGCAGGAGAGAGACGGAGGGAGCUGGAGAGAGCAGCUGUUGGGAAGCCCCUGGACAGGAAGACACUUUCAGUCCCUUGUCCUUUGUUCCUUCCCUCCCUGCUCCCUCCUUUUCUUUCCCUUUAACCCUCUUCUUUUGGCUCUUUCCCGUUCCCUCGCUCCGCUCUUUCGAAGUGCCCGCUUCAGAGUGAGAUGGGCUGUGGCAAUUCAUCUGCAACCAGCACCGCCGAGGGUCCAGCCGAAGCAUCCAAAGACGUGUGAGAGCCCCCGCCCGACGACGACGACGACAAAACAAGGGAUUAUGGCGGGGUCUACGUGGGUCUGCCGGUUGACCUGACCACCGUCGCCGCCAGUUUGUCCAAGGUCAUUCACAAAGAUUAGCGAACGUGACAUGAAGCCACGAGCCGGGAACGGAUUCCGAUCAGCCUUAAGGAGACAGAGGCCCGUCAGCAGCCACCAAAAGGAACGGACGGGUUUCGGUUAAACGCUACGACCCUCAGACCCAGUUGAGCGCCACGGGACACCCCCGCCGGCGACAGCGGUAAACGAAACGUUGGGAACAGCCAGCCACAAGAUGCCCGGGUAAAAAAAAAAAAAAAAAACGUUCAACAUAAGCCUUGAAAGACGGUGAGAUGUCAAAGAUUGGUCCCCAGUUGGUGAAGCAGAAGCCUAUCACUGCGCCUCGGUGUUGAAGCCACCAAUCACGGCCGAGGCGGUGUUCCCGCCUUUAAAGAAAACAUCUCCAAUUUUAACUUUCUCGUAAAGCCCCUUUGGGGCUUCUGUAUCCAGAAAAUAUAAAUCCAGUUUGCCUCUCGUUGGAAUAAAUUUAUGAUGUCAUAUAAGACGCAGGUUCACUUUAAAAAUAAGGCAGAGCUUCACUUUAAAAAUGUUUUCCUUCCACAACACCCGAGCACAAGGGCGAAAGGUCAUGCAACACUUCCGCAGUACACUUAGAAAAUAGUAUGGAGGCUAUUUUUUUGCACACUGCCCAUCUCAUACUAAAACAUAUGCACUAGUACACAGUAUGCUUAGUAGACGGUACAUAUCUUGGACACAGAAGUUAGGAUGUGUUGUGUUUUUGUUAUUUGCCCCUUAUGCAACUAAAGCUCAAGAGGGAGGUGGUGCUCCUUUGAUGAGUUCACACUUAAUUUUAAUUAGUGCCAGACACAGGCUUUGGGACAUUGUUAGAAGGAACAGGAAGCUGGCUGAUGCCGCGAUGCUGCCUUCUGCUGGUCAGGAUGAACACUCGCGAGGGAAGGCACAGUGGCAUUAUUGCAUCCUUUUCAUUUCGCAAUCCUCGCACCCUUGGCCCGGACAUGGACAAUGACCCUCUCACCUGAGGACAGAGGUAAACGCAAAGCAAAAUCGUCCCAAUCAUAAAAAACGUAUCACACGGGUAGGACUCAGGUUAGCUUGUGAGUGCUGGUUCUUUUUGGAUUCAAUAUUUGGUUGUUUAGCAACCAGUAGGAUGUUCAGCAAUGUUCUUUACUCUAGAACACUUCUAUAUGGGUUUGUAGAAAAAAAAAGUGAGGGGUCAAAAUAAACUGGUAUAACUUUUGUACUUGUAAACCUGCAUUUAAGUGAGAAGCAAAUACACAGAUGUGCAGACUGUGGUGAAGGGGCAAUGGGAUCCAGUCUUGUUUUAGUAGCCACUGUUUAUAGUGCCUGAGUAAUGUUUUUAUAUAAACUAUGAAUUCAACAUUUUGACUGAUUAUUUACUGUUUACUUUGUGUUUGUACGAUGGCAAUAAAUUUACAUGUCAUGUUUGCUUUUUUCUAUUUCUAAA